rnacentral:rRNA from 1 species
UACGAAGGGGGCUAGCGUUGUUCGGAAUCACUGGGCGUAAAGGGCGCGUAGGCGGCUGUUCAAGUCGGGGGUGAAAGCCUGUGGCUCAACCACAGAAUUGCCUUCGAUACUGGACGGCUGGAGACCGGAAGAGGUCAGUGGAACUGCGAGUGUAGAGGUGAAAUUCGUAGAUAUUCGCAAGAACACCAGUGGCGAAGGCGGCCAACUGGUCCGAUACUGACGCUGAGGCGCGAAAGCGUGGGGAGCAAACAGG